rnacentral:rRNA from 1 species
AACGAACGCUGGCGGCAGGCUUAACACAUGCAAGUCGAGCGCCCCGCAAGGGGAGCGGCAGACGGGUGAGUAACGCGUGGGAACGUGCCCUUUGGUUCGGAACAACUCCGGGAAACUGGAGCUAAUACCGGAUAAGGCCCUUUCGGGGGGAAAAGAUUUUAUCGCCAAAGGAUCGGCCCGCGUCUGAUUAGCUAGUUGGUGAGGUAAUGGCUCACCAAGGCGACGAUCAGUAGCUGGUCUGAGAGGAUGAUCAGCCACACUGGGACUGAGACACGGCCCAGACUCCUACGGGAGGCAGCAGUGGGGAAUAUUGGACAAUGGGCGCAAGCCUGAUCCAGCCAUGCCGCGUGAGUGAUGAAGGCCUUAGGGUUGUAAAGCUCUUUGUCCGGGAAGAUAAUGACUGUACCGGAAGAAUAAGACCCCGGCUAACUUCGUGCCAGCAGCCGCGGUAAU